rnacentral:rRNA from 1 species
GUGUCACCAGGCGAGAAUCCUCCGCAAUGCGCGAAAGCGCGACGGGGUUACCCCGAGUGCCGUCCGCUGAGGACGGCUUUUGCCCAGUGUAGCCAGCUGGGCGAAUAAGGAGAGGGCAAGGUCUGGUGUCAGCCGCCGCGGUAAUACCAGGCUCUCCGAGUGGUGGGGACGCUUAUUGGGCCUAAAGCAGUCCGUAGGCCGGUCUGGCAAGUCCCUUGUUAAAUCCAACGAUUCAAUCGUUGGACUGCAAGGGAUACUGGCCG